rnacentral:SRP_RNA from 1 species
AGUUAGAUUAUUGACAAAGGAGUCCUUAAUAUCAUAAAAUAAGGACUCCGAGCAAUAUAAGAUAUCAUUUGGCGGUCGUUUUGUAGGAUGCUGAUCUUUGGGUCCUGCGUAAUGGGCACCUACGAAUCGUGUCAGGGCAGGAAUGCAGCAGCACUAAGUAGGACCGUUCAUCUGACGUGGGGUCACCUGAGGGGAGUCCUACAGAGCGGCUACCAAAUGAUAUCUAAUA